ACACUCUCUUUUUAUUAUGAUUUUUUCAUUCAUUAUUUUUUACAUGUAAAAAAAUAACAAAAAGUAAAAAAAAAUUCAAAUACAAUUUGAAAAUUACAAAAUAAACCCCAAAAUCUACAAGGAUUACUGGGAACAUCUUCUGGGAUCCGCCGGAAUAGUGCCGGGAACAUCUUCUGGGCAUCUAAACAGUGGCGGCGCGUUGCUCCACGCGCCGCCGUGAAACUAACCAGCAACAGGGGGCCUGUGACAACCUCCUCCCCUCUUCCUUUCCUCACCGGCGGUAACACCCACCGUCACCUGCAAAAAGUAAAAAAACACAAGCAGUUGUUUUUAAUUUUAUUUCACUGAUUUUAGAUCUGCCUCUCUCCCUGCAGCUCCCUUUCUUUUCGUCUCCCCUCCUCUGUUUCAGGCACUCAGCGGUGUGACCGAAGGGCUGCUGGCGACCGAGUUUCAAUCGCGCCUUUGCUGCUGGUGGUGGUUGGCGAGGUCUGCAGAGAGGGAACGCUGGAGGCGGCGGUAGCUUGGAUAGAGAGGAUCUGUGGUCGGCUGGGAGGCUAGGGACGAUGGAAGUCGUGGCCAAUCUGUUUGGCUGAGAGUAAGAGGGGAGGCGGUCGGCCUCUGUUAAACAGGGCAGAGAGAGGACAGGUCCGGUGAGAGGGGGAGGUUUGUGUGCAGGCGACUAAGGUUUUUGGUUUCAAAAGGAGAGGGGCCGAGAGAGAGGAAGGUUCCAACGGCGCACCUUGGCUCUCCGGUUCUCUUCUUUGUCAAAAAAAAGGGGCGGCUGCUGUGUUUAGGGAGCCACCAGAGAAAAAGGGGAGCCUUGGUCGGGCAAGGGAGAAAGAAACUAAAAAUUCAAAAGGAGGAAGGGGGCUUGGGGGGUUGUGGUUUUUUUUGGAGAAGAUGGAAAUGAGG
rnacentral:lncRNA from 1 species